UACUGCAGCCAAUCUACACUACAAGGACCCAUAUGACUAGAGACCAUGUGUAUGUGCAGUAAAACUACAAUAACCUCACUGUGAGCAGCCGAAGCACCGCAGGUCAAAGGACCAGUCAUACUACUGCAACAUCAAGCAAGUCACUGACGAGUGGAUAGACAUCCAAGUGACUUUUUAUUUUGGUCACGCUCAGUACCCUUGUUCUCUAACAAGCACCUGCACUAUCACUUCAGUGUUCCCACACUGUGGACUCGAGUCUCGUCCAUCCAUAAGGAAA
rnacentral:lncRNA from 1 species